GAUGAACGCUAGCGGCAGGCUUAAUACAUGCAAGUCGAGGGGCAGCACGGGUAGCAAUACCUGGUGGCGACCGGCAAACGGGUGCGGAACACGUACGCAACCCUCCUUUAAGCGGGGAAUAGCCCAGAGAAAUUUGGAUUAAUACCCCAUAACAUAAAUGAGAAAGCAUUUUCUUAUUAUUAAAGAUUUAUCACUUAGAGAUGGGCGUGCGGCUGAUUAGGUAGUUGGCGGAGUAAAGCCCACCAAGCCUACGAUCAGUAGCUGAUGUAAGAGCAUGAUCAGCCACACGGGCACUGAGACACGGGCCC
rnacentral:rRNA from 1 species